CCUACGGGAGGCAGCAGUGGGGAAUCUUGCGCAAUGGGCGAAAGCCUGACGCAGCAACGCCGCGUGCGGGAAGAAGGCCCUAGGGUUGUAAACCGCUUUCAGUAGGAACGAAAAUGACGGUACCUGCAGAAGAAGGUGCGGCCAACUACGUGCCAGCAGCCGCGGUGACACGUAGGCACCAAGCGUUGUCCGGAUUUAUUGGGCGUAAAGAGCUCGUAGGCGGUUCAGUAAGUCGGGUGUGAAAACUCUGGGCUUAACCCAGAGCCGCCACUCGAUACUGCUGUGACUUGAGUUCGGUAGGGGAGCAGGGAAUUCCUAGUGUAGCGGUGAAAUGCGCAGAUAUUAGGAGGAACACCGGUGGCGAAGGCGCUGCUCUGGGCCGAUACUGACGCUGAGGAGCGAAAGCGUGGGUAGCAAACAGGAUUAGAUACCCUGGUAGUCCACGCCGUAAACGUUGGGCACUAGGUGUGGGUUCCAACCAACGGAAUCCGCGCCGUCGCUAACGCAUUAAGUGCCCCGCCUGGGGAGUACGGCGGCAACGCUAAAACUCAAAUGAAUUGACGGCUGAGACGNGCCGAACGGACGACGACGAGGGAGUAGG
rnacentral:rRNA from 1 species